CAUGGCGGAGCGCCCGAGGAAGCGUCCGUGUGGCCCAGGUGAACACGGCCAAAGGGUUGAAUGGCGAAAAUGAAAGCAGCAGUAGAAGGAGGAGAAAAAGAAGUGGAAGGAUCUCAAAAUGAUGAAAAAACUGGAGCGGCAGCGGGCCCAGGAAGAACAGGCUAAGCGCCAGGAAGAGGAGGAGGCUGCUGCCCAAAGUAACGACCAGGGGCCUUACACUCUGAGUGUGGCCCUGUCAGGCUCCAUCCUGGACAACGCCCAGUCAUCUGAGCUUCACACCUACCUGGCUGGGCAGAUUGCCAGAGCCUGUACCAUCUUCUGUGUGGACGAGAUUGUGGUGUUCGAUGAAGAGGGUCAAGAUACCAAGACUGUGGAAGGGGAAUUCAGGGGAGUUGGCAAGAAGGGGCAGGCAUGUGUACAGCUGGCCCGCAUCCUGCAGUACCUGGAGUGUCCACAGUACCUGAGAAAGGCGUUCUUCCCCAAACACCAGGAUCUGCAAUUUGCAGGGAUCCUCAACCCCUUGGACAGCCCUCACCACAUGCGGCAGGACAAGGAAUCAGAGUUCCGAGAAGGCAUCGUGGUGGGCCGGCCCACCAAGGCAGGCCACGGCUCUCUGGUUAACUGUGGGAUGAAGAAGGAGGUGAAGAUUGACAAGAAACUGGAGCCCGGACUUCGGGUGACCAUGUGACUGAACCAAAAGCAGCUCCCAGAGUGUAAGACAAGGGAACAGUCAGGUCCUCACAGGACCCCUGCACCAAAGCCGGUCUCUACUGGGGCUACACCGUCCGCCUGGCCUCCUGUCUCAGUGCUGUGUUUGCUGAGGCUCCCUUUCAGGAUGGGUACGAUUUGACCACUGGGACAUCAGAACGUGUCUCCAACGUGGCCUCUGCCCAGCUGCUCAGCUUCAGGCAUGCUCUUGUGGUGUUCAGGGGCCUCUAGGGGCUGGAAGCUGGAGUGGAUGCUGACCCCAACCUGGAAGUGUCUGAACCCAGUGUUCUCUUCGACUUUUAUGUCAACACAUGCCCCAGCCAGGGCAGUCGUACCAUCGCACUGAGGAAGCGAUACUCAUCUCCUUGACUGCCCUGCAACCUGGUCUCACCCAGGCUGGUUCCCAGACCACCAGACAACUUUCUGGAUCCAGGAUGUAGAAGCAGCAGGAAAUGGAGGAUCACUAGGAACAGACAUGGUCAAGACUUGUUUACAAAAAUAAUCACCUUUAAUAUGAGCCAGUCCAAUCUCCCUCACUUGCUGCCAGCAGUGAUGGCCUUGAGGUUUCCAACUCGAGCCAGGAUACUGGGCACGAAGAGCAGCCCUGAAGCCCACUCA